GAUGAACGCUAGCUACAGGCUUAACACAUGCAAGUCGAGGGGCAGCAUGGUCUUAGCUUGCUAAGGCCGAUGGCGACCGGCGCACGGGUGAGUAACACGUAUCCAACCUGCCGUCUACUCUUGGACAGCCUUCUGAAAGGAAGAUUAAUACAAGAUGGCAUCAUGAGUCCGCAUGUUCACAUGAUUAAAGGUAUUCCGGUAGACGAUGGGGAUGCGUUCCAUUAGAUAGUAGGCGGGGUAACGGCCCACCUAGUCUUCGAUGGAUAGGGGUUCUGAGAGGAAGGGCCCCGACAGGGGAACUGGGCCACGGGCCAAACUCCUACGGGAGGAAGCAGUGAGGAAUAUUGGUCAAUGGGAGAGAGCCUGAUCCAGCCAAGUAGCGUGAAGGAAGACUGCGUGAGGGGUGGUAAACUUCUUUUAUAAAGGAAUAAAGGCGUGUAUGGAUACCCGAGUGCAUGUACUUGAUGAAUAAGGAUCGGCUAACUCCGUG
rnacentral:rRNA from 1 species